AUAUACCACUCGUCUACGUAGGUUCCUGCGCACCGUCGCGCCCACCUGACGACUCGCUACAUUCUGUUAGCG
rnacentral:sRNA from 1 species